AAACCCUACGAGGUAAUUUUCUUCGACUGUGUACCAACGCCCGUGGUUUUAAGGAACGUGCUUCCGCAAGGAGACUACCAGCACUCACUCAAACAAAUUGCUAUCUACGAUAAUAACCUACGCCCUUCGAUGGUUUACCAAAUAUAGGAGACAAAAACCCUGGUGGGCCCUAUCCUAUUUAGCUGACAUACUGAAUACUUUGACUGUUAAAGGUUGACUUUCCUUACUACUGGAGUUUACUCUUCGACCCUUUCUUACAAUGGGAAUGAGGACGUAUAUUCUUGACUGGAGGACGCCAACUCAUAAUAUAUAAAUAACCUUAAGGGGCAGUGUCCUCGCUGUCAACGUUUUAAGCGAAGCGCACAGAACGGACACGUUACUCGACUCAGAAAAUAAGUGCGAAAAAGAUUACCUGACUAUACAAAGUCAAGGGUUUCCGGACUAUUUUUUUGCCAAGUGCGCUAAGUGCAGCCAGGGAAAUCACUCGAUUGUAUAAAAUAUCAAUUGCACAGUGAGGUCGAACGUUGUCUCCUGCAGUCUUACUAUGGAUGCCUUUCCGUCG